AAGUCGUAACAAGGUUUCCGUAGGUGAACCUGCGGAAGGAUCAUUACCAAAUCCAAAUACCCAAACCCCGUGUGAACUAUUGUAUAGUCUGUCUUUGGGAGGAAAAGAAAAAUAAAAACAAAAAGUCUUGACAAAUUCUUUUUGGAAAAGGCUUUUUUUUUGUUUUCCUUCUUUUCCUCCCGAUAGAGUCCGGCGCAAUCUUACGGUUGUGUCCAGAUUCGAUAACCCUUUUUUUAAACCACUUGAUUUUUCUGUUGGAAUUUUCUUUUAUUAAAUUUUAAAUAAAAGACAACUUUUAACGGUGGAUCUCUUGGCUCGUG
rnacentral:misc_RNA from 1 species